ACAUUUUGCCCAGACUACCUUAUAUCUGACAAGUACCCGAUAAGCCAGUAACCCUGCUUCGUAGUACGGGCCCCAGGAUUAAUUUAAUCUAUGUUGAUGCAAUCCAGCCUUAGAGGUUCUAAUACAAUCUCUGCUGUUCUUACAAUGACUAUGAUCCAGGGCACAGUGUCCUGCUUAUGGGAUCCACCUGCUCUCUUGGGGACUCAACGGGAGCACAGCUUCCUGACCUGAAUGUGCUCUUCACCUUUUGACCGAGUCACAGCAGUUUCCUGAGGCACUUCCCCUUCCCGUGGCCCCACAGGUGUUGCCAGAUCAGAGAUGCCAAAACCCAUGCCCUCCUCAUGGUGUUUGGCUUCCAGCCUUUGCUCUGCCAGCUACGUGCCUCCAACACAGUGCUGUGUCUGCUCUUUAUUCACUUCCAUGACAAUUAAUGCAUAUUUUAGAAAUAAAUAGAUGGCAAUAUAUUCUAUCUAGUUCUACCUAUCACUAUUGUUAUUGUAAAAAAAUGUUUGAUAUUCGGCCCUGUGGUGGGCUGGCGACCUGCCCAGUGUGUACCCUGCCUCUCGCACGAUGAUGCUGGGAUUGGCUCCAGCUUCCCCGUGACCCAGAUGGAUAAAGUGGUAUAGAUAAUGGAUGGAUGGAUGGAUGGAUGGAUGUUUGAUAUUCCUGCAUUAUCCUGCAUUUUUAUGGAUCCUGAUGAAUAACUGAGCUGUAGACCAUUAGAUGUGAGGAUGAUAGCCAAUACCUGGUUUUAACCAUCAUUAAAAAAUGGGGCAUAUCAACAGAUGGCAAUUUCGGAUAAAUUAACUCAGCAGUGCACAAAAGUGACCACAGUGGAUUCAUCUUGGACUAAUCCUGGUCUUUCUUUUACUAUGCUUUGACCUUCAAGCAACAGAAUGAUAUUUUUACUGGGCCAGCAAUCUGUCCUCCCCUACAGCAGCAGCUGUGAACCCCGGGUAUUUCUUUAGCAUGUUCUUGGGUUAUAUUUACUCUUCAGCAUCACGGCCCUUUUGAAAGAAGGGGAGCUUCAUCAUGAGCCACUGAAUUAGCAUGUGCCUCUUCACUCUAAUGAGCAGAUGCUCUGUGAAAGUCCUGUCUAGUGUGAAAUCUGUCACUGAAUGCUAAAAUGUUGUCUCAUUCCGUCCCCCGACCAUAAGGUCCCCUAAGCUGAAUGCAACAUCUACCAGAAGCGUUGCCUUUAUGGCUGAUUUUGUGCUGAUUUCAUGCCGCAAUUAUUCUCCAACAGCAAGACUCUGGUGUCCCACUUUACAGUACCAAGGCAUUGUGGUCACUAACAGACAGAGCUGUGGUGAGCGAGAGAGAUCCCAUUGAACACUGUAGUGAGAGGCGAUUGUGAGGCUCAUUUGGCCCACGACGCUGACGGAGCCAUCUGCCAGUGUUUUGACGGACAUUCAUCGAGGCUGCUUUGGGUAGCAGGGGAACAAAGAUAUCUCACAGCCAGUGCUUCAAGCAGGAAAAAUGUAAACAAUGCACUUUGGAUAGAUUGUUUUUCAAAUAAUACACAGUGAUUUAUUUCUUAUUGAAGACUACUUCCCUGCUGUUCUCUGACAGCAUUUUUAACCUUUUAAACUGUGUGUCCAGUGCAGGGGGAUUGUCUGUGUCAGGAAGCUCAGGACACUCCAGUCCUUCACAGGCAAACAUUCACUCACUGCAUUUCAGAGACAAUUAUUCAGGGGAGACCUUCUGAAACUCCAUAAAUACAGAGAUGGAUGUGGGAGUCAAAUCCACAGUCCUCAAGGUGUAAGGCCCCAUGUUACAGUUAACAUAGAAUUUAAACAUGUAUUCACAUGCUUCAGGUUUAAUUACUCUACUAUAAACUCAGCACACCUUUAAACAACAUGGCUGGGAUCAUUGCUCAGGACUAUUAGAUAAUCCUCAUUUACACUGGCUACCUCAUGACCUAAAUGUUAGUCUAUGUCAUGUUAUGUUAUUGUCCAUUAUUAAUCCAUAUUAUGACCAUAUCUGCUUAUCUACCAUUGGGCCCCCGAGCAAGGACCUUAUCCCCCAAUUACUCCAGUGACUGGCUGACCCUACAUUCACAACUGUAUGUCACUUUGGAUAGAAGCUAAAUAAGUAAAUAAAUCAAUAAAUAUGCACAUAUUCUACCCCCCCCCUUUCCCACAUGCUCUGCCAAAAAGCCCCACCCCAUGAAAGGUGUACCAUUCACGUCUUUUGGCCUGCCCCCAAAACCUUGGUACUGGCAGAGAAGCCGCUGACAGCUGAGAGCGGAGCUGACAUCAACGCCCCCACCCAUGGAGGUAACCAUGCUGUGCACCAUUACAUCAUUUGAUCGUCCCCAAACUCACAGCCCCCAUCUCUCUCUUGCUCUAUCUUGCAGUUAAAGGUGCCUCCUCCGACACUGAGGACUGGAAAGGCUGAUUAUCUCUCCCUCCUCUGAUUUUUAUUUAAGCAUUUUCAGGUGGAUUAUGCGAGAGGAGAAAGCAGAUGGAGAUCUCCAGAUACAGGACAGGUUGCUGUGAGGGUUGUCAUGGAGAAAUUCUGCUUCUAAAGAAAGCUUCCGUGUUGCCAUGGUGGCACCGUGCAAUGGCCUAACCUGGGAGGAGAGUGAUGAAGCGAGAUUACAGGCACAGUAGCACACAGUGAUCACUUUAUCUAGCUUCUACUUUCCUCUAAUGUCCCUCAUCUCUCCCCCUCUAAUUUAACAUUCAGAGCUCCUCUGAAUAAUUUAUAUUAUUUUCUCUGUGUACAAUGUGAUAAUGUUUUUAAAUGCUGAGGCAGAAUCAGACCUGAAAAAUUUAUAGAUUCAGCAAUAUAACAAAAGACCUUGACGCCACAUGACCAUACAAAAGGAGUCCAUCUAAAACGGCAGUGAAAAUUUCAGCUUCUGCAUUUUGUAAAUGGUGCUGUGAGUGCCAGCGCCCAGGUCUCCUCCACUGAAUCGGGAAGCUUUCUCCAUGCUCUUCCGUUUAGUUUCCACCAAACAUAAAAGCCCAUGCACGCUGAUGGAGACCCUGUACUGUCUAAUCAACGUCCUUGAAAAGCAGUAACUGCCCAGCAAGACAGAGAUCAGCCAACAGUGCUGUGCUUCCAUUGACGAAAUAAGCAUUAUCAACAACUAGAAGUGACCCAGUGAAACUCCAUACUGAAUUCAGGAGGUACACUGUCCCCCUCCCACUGCUGAAACUGUCUUAAAUUAGGCUGCGUGCACACUCUGCAUGGAGAAAACUGCGAGAUGUACAGCAAGCCCAUAAAAACAAGGCCACGUCCGCCAAGUCCUCCUGAAACAAAAUAGUGGAACGGCAUGACACGGGUGUGCGAACGGAAGUAUUUUUCAGUGUUACGCAGUGCAAGGCACAUUAGCCUGACGGAUAAGAUAAGAACUACUUCAGCACGUAUGUCCACAGCUUAAGUGAAAACUGACCCAUGUACUGAGCUAUAACUAUAAAAUAGUAAACUACUCAUUUAGAGGCUUAGCGAACCAAGUGUGAUCGCUGCAAGAUUUGUUAUAUACUGUCAAGCUAUUUUAGGUUAAGGAGAACACCUGACAGAUCAACGUAGAGUCUUACGAAACCAGCAGCCUCUCUAUGAAACAAUACAGGGACUGCCCUCCUGGCUGUCACUCACAGAACUGAAUGGCCUGCAAUGAUCGCUAAUAUCAACCUCAGAGAUCAGAUGGACGGAGCAUUUUUGCAGGAGGACCUCUUGGGGAAUCAGCCAUGCAUGUGGCUGACUCAACUCCUUGCUGUAGCAGUGUAGGGUGUGAACAUGUGAUAAUAAAAGACAUUCUACAUCCAAUUUGCACCUCCAGCUGAAAAUAGAAACUGAAUAGCAAUGUUUUGUACAUUCCUUCCCCUCUCCGUUCGGAGGAAAAGCACAGGUAGUGAAGCUGACCAGAUUCAGACUGUUAGUGCUGUCCUUGGUAAUUCAGUGACUAAGUGACAGCUCAGAGAAUGUCCUCUCCUGCAACCAAAAGGAAGAGAGACCCAGCAUUUCCAAAACCACGACCACACACAGGGCGGAGCGUAAAAAAGAAAAGGAGGAAGGAUGAAUCUCCCGAUCCCAGAUAUAGCAUGAUGUUGGUGCUGGAGUCCAAUAACUUCAAAAGGGUCUUCCAGAUUGGAGGAGAAAAUUCUGGAGGACUCGAUUCAACAAUGUGGGGGAAGCAGAAAAGAAAGGAGGCCUUUCUGGAAUAAUCAUAAUCACGGUGUGUAAUGGCAUGGAUUAGUUUCUGUGGGUCUUUGGGAGUGGGGACCUUGAUGAUGGCUCAGGAUGGGCUUCACAUCCUUUCAAGAGAAAAGCCCUCAAAUGAAUACAGGCUUCACUGAGGACACAGGGCAUCCCUGAGUAAAGGGGACUUUCUGGAGGACACAGGUUUCCUUGAGGAUACAUGGUUUCCCUGUGGAUAUGAGGUUUUCCUUGAGGACACAGGGCUUCUCAGAGGAUAUGGGACUUCCCUGAGGAUGUGAGGCUUCCCUGAGGAUACGUGGUUUCCCUCAGGACAUGGGGUUUUCCUUGAGGACACAGGGAUUCUCAGAGGACAUGGGACUUCCCUGAGGAUACAUGGUUUCCCUGAGGACAUGGGGUUUUCCUUGAGGACACAGGGAUUCUCAGAGGACAUGGGACUUCCCUGAGGAUACAUGGUUUCCCUGAGGACAUGGGGUUUUCCUUGAGGACACAGGGCUUCUCAGAGGACAUGGGACUUCCCUGAGAUGCAGCCCAGCCACCUGACUCAGUGCCGGCUAUAGCAGACGGGGAGGCUGUGGAGUGGCAUAGCAUGGUGUAUUGGUGCAGGACACGAAGGCUUUUCAGUUCUGUCGCCUGGCUCCUUCUCUGCAAGGCUGGCAGGGAGCGGGCCAUUCUUCUUCAAGCUCAUUAGCAUGGCUGUGGUGGGAAAACGGCUGCUGCCAUUGUUUCAUUGGAAGGCACAAAAGCUGAGGGCGACAGCUGGCCAAUGGGGGGACGGCCCACUGCAGCUGCAGCACAUGACGAAUGAAUGCCAGGUAUUUUUUUCAUUGUUUGGGUUCAACUGCACAUUAAUGACACAGAAUAGGUUUGACUGGGGACAUUUUUUUAACCAAACUGUGCGGUUUACUUUUUUUUUUUUUGUUAAGUCUGUAAUAUACUUCCCGGCUAACACGCAAGACCCUUUUUGUUGUCCAGAGGCCAGAUUUAAAGCCUAUUUUAAAAAACUUUAAAAAAAAGCUAUUUGAAAACAGAGCAAAUUAUGAUAUGUCAGAAUGAAACCUAGGAUAUGACACAUUUAUUUUGAAACCUUGUAUAUGAGACUCUGAAGCAUAUUCAGUUUUUGAAACAAACAUAAAACUAAUAUUACCCCCUCAUAAUGCUUUAUGCUACAUUAUAAUUACAGUAACAGAUUUGUUAUUUUUUAGAUGUACUAUGUUAUUUAUUUAUUUAUUUUUGUAAGGUUUGUUUGGUGUUAAAGAAAUAGGACAAUACUGAGGGGAAAAAGGCCAAAAAAGGUAAACCGAAAGCAAUUCAGAAAAUCGGAAAGAGUUUUAUAAGAAUGUAUUCUCAGUGAGAGAAAGAGUGCACCAUUUUCUACUCACACAAAAACACAAAAAGUAAUCCUAUCUAAUGGAAAUAAGAUUGCAAUUGUUUAAAAUAGCUGGCUGUUCAGCUUCUACCAAAAGCUCUGCACCGUGUACGUCGGGUACAUCCAAAAAUCCAUUUAAGGUGGGCCAUUUUCUGUCCCAUCUGGGCAUGUACAAAAAGCCCCUAAAGGAAUGUGUGAGUAGAGCUUUUUUUCACAGAGAGGUCUGUCUGGAUCAUGUGACCACACAGAGCAUGACCAUAUUAGGCUUUGGAAAAAAAACAUGCCUUUUCUGUAGUGGAAUUCGCCUUUCCACUGGAUUGCGGUUACACAGAGUAGGAUAAUUCACUUUUGGAGGCGUUACAAGGACCGGUUGCUGACGUAAUAUCACUAAAGUGAGGAAAGCGUGCCCCCAGGACCCCCGAUAUAAGCCAAACAAUACAGUGUUUGAACACACACUGGCUUUGUGAGAGCAUUCUUACAUGCCUGGCUUACUGAAGUAAUCAGAUUCUCUUUUAGUGCACUGCAGGUCUUAGCCUUAUCACUGAAUGCCCUGCAGACACAUUCCUCAGUUCCAUCCUGGAGUUUGAACUCGGCCCGAGUGCUAAAUUUACCUCUGUUACCUCUAUAAGUGGCCACUCAAUUCUCCAAACUCUGCUGGGUCUUGAGAUACGUAGAUGGAUUCUGUUACUUCAUCCAUAGAUCCAUUCAUCCAUCUUCUACAGUUGUUUAUCCUUUCUUGGGGUCACUGAGCCAGGAACCUCUGAAUUAACUGCAUAAAUAUGACUUAUUUUUUCUUUUUUCUGUUUCAGUUCCAAAACCGAAAGAUAAAUUGUUGCCUGUCGAUUUGUCAAAUGAUUGAUAUCUAGACAAGGGGUGAUGUGGCCCAGCAGCGUAGGAGGCUGUGGCUGUGAGUGGAAGGUCAUGGGUUUGACCCUAUGGUAUGACAUCCCAUAAUACCACUUGUGCUCAUCCAGGUGUAACAGCCAUGGAUGAGGCAGGGAGCCGUGGGUGAGGAUUAGACUUGGAAAGGCUCCUGUCAGAUGAAAAGUCUGUUCUGGCGUUAAGCCACAGAGUACCAAAGUCCCCUCUGUUUGAGAAGCAGAUCCCCCAGAACCUAACAUUUAACCCUGUGAGGUUUAACUGGUUCAUUAGGGGGGCUCUGAAAGCUGACACUCCCUAUCAACGUGAGCAAGGACCCUGGCCAUGAAGAGCGGCUUGCUUGCUGAAGGCUGACACCAUCUCUUCUACCUGUGGCCUCCUGCUCAUGCCUGAUAGCACAAAAACAGUGACAGACAGUCUGGCGUCUGCUGAGCACACAUGCCAUUGCUGUCCAUACACUCAAUACCCACUCAGCUUUAUCCACUGUGCCUUUCUCCACAUUCCCUAUUUUGUCAUUGUUUUUUUUCGGCAACUUCAGUUUCAGAACAAGCUAUAAUUGAGGUGAAAUAUGAUGAUCCAGUAUCCUUCCUUACAAAUAAAAUGUGCAGCUUAA